rnacentral:rRNA from 1 species
GAUGAACGCUGGCGGCGUGCCUAAUACAUGCAAGUCGAGCGAACGGACGAGAAGCUUGCUUCUCUGAUGUUAGCGGCGGACGGGUGAGUAACACGUGGAUAACCUACCUAUAAGACUGGGAUAACUUCGGGAAACCGGAGCUAAUACCGGAUGAUAUUUUGAACCGCAUGGUUCAAAAGUGAAAGACGGUCUUGCUGUCACUUAUAGAUGGAUCCGCGCUGCAUUAGCUAGUUGGUAAGGUAACGGCUUACCAAGGCAACGAUGCAUAGCCGACCUGAGAGGGUGAUCGGCCACACUGGAACUGAGACACGGUCCAGACUCCUACGGGAGGCAGCAGUAGGGAAUCUUCCGCAAUGGGCGAAAGCCUGACGGAGCAACGCCGCGUGAGUGAUGAAGGUCUUCGGAUCGUAAAACUCUGUUAUUAGGGAAGAACAUAUGUGUAAGUAACUGUGCACAUCUUGACGGUACCUAAUCAGAAAGCCACGGCUAACUACGUGCCAGCAGCCGCGGUAAUACGUAGGUGGCAAGCGUUAUCCGGAAUUAUUGGGCGUAAAGCGCGCGUAGGCGGUUUUUUAAGUCUGAUGUGAAAGCCCACGGCUCAACCGUGGAGGGUCAUUGGAAACUGGAAAACUUGAGUGCAGAAGAGGAAAGUGGAAUUCCAUGUGUAGCGGUGAAAUGCGCAGAGAUAUGGAGGAACACCAGUGGCGAAGGCGACUUUCUGGUCUGUAACUGACGCUGAUGUGCGAAAGCGUGGGGAUCAAACAGGAUUAGAUACCCUGGUAGUCCACGCCGUAAACGAUGAGUGCUAAGUGUUAGGGGGUUUCCGCCCCUUAGUGCUGCAGCUAACGCAUUAAGCACUCCGCCUGGGGAGUACGACCGCAAGGUUGAAACUCAAAGGAAUUGACGGGGACCCGCACAAGCGGUGGAGCAUGUGGUUUAAUUCGAAGCAACGCGAAGAACCUUACCAAAUCUUGAUAUCCUUUGACAACUCUAGAGAUAGAGCCUUCCCCUUCGGGGGACAAAGUGACAGGUGGUGCAUGGUUGUCGUCAGCUCGUGUCGUGAGAUGUUGGGUUAAGUCCCGCAACGAGCGCAACCCUUAAGCUUAGUUGCCAUCAUUAAGUUGGGCACUCUAAGUUGACUGCCGGUGACAAACCGGAGGAAGGUGGGGAUGACGUCAAAUCAUCAUGCCCCUUAUGAUUUGGGCUACACACGUGCUACAAUGGACAAUACAAAGGGCAGCGAAACCGCGAGGUCAAGCAAAUCCCAUAAAGUUGUUCUCAGUUCGGAUUGUAGUCUGCAACUCGACUACAUGAAGCUGGAAUCGCUAGUAAUCGUAGAUCAGCAUGCUACGGUGAAUACGUUCCCGGGUCU